rnacentral:rRNA from 1 species
UACAGGGGGUGCAAACGUUGCUCGGAAUUAUUGGGCGUAAAGCGCGCGUAGGCGGCUACUUAAGUCGGAUGUGAAAGCCCCUGGCUCAACUGGGGAAGUGCACCCGAAACUGAGUGGCUUGAGUGCGAAAGAGGGUCGCGGAAUUCCCGGUGUAGAGGUGAAAUUCGUAGAUAUCGGGAGGAACACCGGUGGCGAAGGCGGCGACCUGGGUCGACACUGACGCUGAGACGCGAAAGCCAGGGGAGCGAACGGG